GGCGGGUGGAUCACUUGAGUUCAGGAGUUCAAGACCAGACUGGCCAACACGGCAAAAACCCAUCUCUACUAAAAGUACAAAAAUUACCCAGAAGUGUUGGCGUGCACCUGUAAUCCCAGGUACUCAGGAGGCUGAGGCACGAGAAUCGCUUGAACUUGGGAGGCGGAGGUUGCAGCGAGCCGAGAUUAUACCACCGCACUCUAGCCUAGACAACAGAGCAAGACUCUGUUUCAAAAAAAAAAAAGAACCCUAUCAAGAAAAUUAAAAGACAACCCACCAAAUGGGAGAAGUGUGUGUAAAUCACCUAUCUGAUAAAGGCUUAGUAUCCACAAUAUAAAGAAUGAUGCCUACAACUCAACAAUAACAAGACAACUCAAUUAAAAAUUGGUCAAAGUGCUGGGCAGUCUGUCUUACAUCUGUUAUAAUCCCAGCAUUUUGGGAGGUUGGAAAAAUGGCAGCCCACGUCAUGCGGUGGUACAACCUUUGUCAAAAUCCUCACUUGAAAUAAUACGGAAAGAAGAUAACUUAGCAAAUGAAUGUUUUGGCUUUGGGUAAAGAAAUGGGAAAAGGAAUUUUGGCAACAUGAGUUGGUUUCUACUGGUUACAUUUGACAAACUGCAAUAAGAAAGAAUGGGCCAGUUUGCAAGCAGGUUUUUUUUUUUUUUUUUUUUUUGAGAUGGAGUUUUCUCUUGUUGCCCAGGCUGGCGUGCAAUGGUGCGAUCUCAGCUCACUGCAACCUCCGCCUCCUGGGUUCAAGCGAUUCUCAUGUCUCAGCCUCCCACGUAGCUGGGAUUACAGGUGCCCGCUACCACACCCAGCUAAUUUUUGUAUUUUUAGUAGAGACGGGGUUUCACCAUGUUGGCCAGGCUGGUCUUGAACUCCUGACCUUAAAUGAUCUGCCCACCUUGGCCUCCCAAAGUGCUGGGAUUACAGGGGUGAGCCACCGCACCUGGCUGUAAGCGGAAUUUAAAGGCAAUAUAGAAAGUCCAGAAAUUCCAGGGCUUAUAAAGUUGAAAGAUGAUUCUAAUUCCCAAAAGGUGAAUGAUAAAACUGAGAAGUCUUUGUGAGAAAAAGCCUUAUUUAUAAUACUCGGCCUUGUGGUUAUGACCAAAUCAAGGAUAAACAGGUUGAACUCUGUUAAAACUUCUGAAUCCAUUAAUAGGGUACCAAGUAAAUACUUUUUUUGUGUGUGUGUGACAGAGUCUCACUCUAUCGCCUAGGCUGGAGUGCAGUGGCAUGAUCUCGGUUCACUGCAACCUCUGCCUCCCGGGUUCAAGUGAUUCUCCUGCCUCAGCCUCCCGAGUAGCUGGGAUUACAGGUGCCUGCCACCGCACCCGGCUAAUUUUUUAUUUUUAGUAUAGACAGGGUUUCACCAUCUUGGCCAGGCUGGUCUUGAACUCCUGACCUCAUGAUCCACCCGCCUCAGUCUCCCAAAGUGCCAGGAUUACAGGUGUGAGCCACAGCGCCCAGCCAUAAAUACUUUCAACUGGACAACAUGGCCAAGGAUUAUGAGGCCAAGAGCACACCCAGACACUGUGGCUCACAUCUGCAAUCUCAGCACUUUGGAAGGCCUGGGUGAGUCACUUGAGCCCAGGAGUUUGAGAACAGCCUGGACAACAUGGCAAAACUGUCUUUCUACAAAGUACAAAAAAUUAGCUGAGCAUGGUGGCCCAUGCUUGUAGUCCCAGCCACCCAGGAGGCUGAGGUGGGAGGAUCACUUGAGCUCAGGAGGUCGAGGCCGUAGUGAGCCGCGAUUGCACCACUGCCCUGUAGCCUGGGUGGCAGUGUGAGACCCUGUCUCAAAAAAAAAAAAAAAAAAAAAAAAAAGAGGCCGGGUGCGGUGACUCACGCCUGUAAUCCCAGCACUUUGGGAGACUGAGGUGGGUGGAUCACGAGGUCAGGAGAUCAAGACCAUGCUGGCCAACAUGGCAAAACCCCAUCUCUACUAAAAAUACAAAAAAUCAGCUGGACAUGGUGGCGCACGCCUGUAAUCCUAGCUACUCAGGAGGCUGAGGCGGGAGAAUCGCUUGAACCCGGGAGGUAGAGUUUGCAGUGAGCCCAGAUGGUGCCACUGCACUCCAGCCUGGGCGACAGAGUGAGACUCCAUCUCAAAACAAAACAAAACAAAACAAAACAGAGAGAGACAGAGAAUGGCCCUCCCAGGAAGACUGGAAGUUCAAGGAUCUGCAAUGUAGUCUAGAGAGGCAUGUCUCAGAAAGCGUUACUACAACUUAGAGCUGGCCAGAACCACAUAUUUGUGAAACCAACAAAAAUUUUUUUUGAGACACGGUCUUCUUGUUCUGUUGCCCAGGCUAGAGUACAGUGGCGCAAUCAUGGCUCACUGCAGCAUGAGCCUCCCAGGCUCAAGUGAUACUCCCACCUCAGCCUCCCAAGUAGCUGGGACUAUAGGUAUGCAUCACCACGCCCAGCUAAUUUAAAAAAACUUUCUUUUUUUUUUUAGAGAUAUGGGGUCUUGCUAUCUUGCCCAAGCUGGUCUUGCCCUCCUGGGCUCAAGUCAUCCUCCCUCCUUGGCCUCCCAACGUGUUGGAAUUACAGAUGUGAACCACCAUACCUAUCCCAAAGCCAUCUAAAUUUUUGGGAAAUGUGUAUCACCCAAAGAAACAUUCAUCUG
rnacentral:lncRNA from 10 species